AAUAAAAACAAAUUCUUUGAAAAACAAAUAUUUUUCUAAGGUCAAUGGAUCAAAAUUUGUGAUUAAAUCUUUUUUUUAGGUUAAAAGCCCUUUGAAAAUGAAUAGUCAAUUAUACCCCCGGAUCUUCCGUCGUCGUUGGGUUUAACUCAAUUUCCCGUUUCUCGUCAGAACUGCAAACUGAAGACGGAACCCGCGAAUUCGUUGCCGAACAAAGAUCUUCAGUGCGAGCUUCAGUCUAAACAUGGGUACUAGAGAAGUUUACGAACAUAAGCUAAGAAGAGGCAAUCUCUACCAUGAACCCACUAUGAAUCCAGGGCUCGGAUCGCCUCGUUGCCCUCGCUGUUUUUCUCUUCUUAAACCCGACCAUGAUAAAAGUGAAUGGGCCAUCAAUCCUGUUCUCCACUGUGUUACUGCUGUGGUGAGUUGCCAUCGUUCCGAUCUUCGAUUUUAUUUGCUUUGAGAACACAUAAUUUAAUGGGUGCUUCUAGGUUUUUUGAUCGUGUAGAGUUAUAAUUGAACUCUAUGUUGUGUUUGUUUAAUUGGUUCGGUCUUUAGUAGUUCAUGAACGUUUGUUGAUCGAUGAUUUAGGAGUUUAAUUCAAUUCAGUUCUUGCUAUUAGCAAUUGGAGUAUUCUAUCUAACUCAA